CGGAGGAAAAGAAACUAACAAGGAUUCCCCCAGUAACGGCGAGUGAAGCGGAAGAGCUCAAGCUUAAAAUCUCCAUGUUUUACAUGGCGAAUUGUAGUCUAUUGAGGCUGUUGUCAGCAUAGCGAUUUGGGAUAAGUCCCUUGGAAAAGGGCAGCAUAGAGGGUGAUACUCCCGUCUUUGCUCAGAUUGUCUAUGUGUACGAUACGCUUUCUUUGAGUCGAGUUGUUUGGGAAUACAGCUCAAAGUAGGUGGUAAAUUCCAUCUAAAGCUAAAUAUUGGUGCGAGACCGAUAGCGAACAAGUACCGUGAGGGAAAGAUGAAAAGACUUUGAAAAGAGAGUUAAAGAGUACCUGAACUGUUGAAAGGGAACCGUAACAUGUCCAGUGUUGUAUCUUGUGCAUAUUUCAUUAGUGGAGUAAUUUACUGGUGCCCUGUGCAUGAGUGUGACGUCAAAGUCAGUUUGUAUGCUGCGGGAGAUGGUUAGCAAGGAGGUGCGUCACUUUUGUGUCAGUUAUACCUUGUUAUCUAGUAGCCGUGGUUGAGACUGAGGUGCCUACAACAUGCUUAUAGAGUAUAUUGUUGUCUCGUUAUUAUACCUGUUUGGAUAGCUUGCUAUGCUGAUGGUCUAUAGUGGCGAUUGAUGAUGGUAUUAACUUUUUGCUGUUCGGGACUUUGACGA
rnacentral:rRNA from 1 species